CCGGGGUAGAGCAGCAGUAGCUCGCCUGGCUCAUAACCAAGAGGUCGCGGGUGCAAAUCCCGCCCCCGCAACCA
rnacentral:tRNA from 1 species